ACAGUGGUGGUUCAGUGGUGGAAUUCUUGCCUUCCAUGUAAGAGACCUGGGUUCAAUUCCCAGGCGGUGCA
rnacentral:tRNA from 1 species